rnacentral:rRNA from 1 species
CUUCAUUUAAUUAAUAAAUAAUAAAUAUAUUAAUUAUAAUACGUUCACAUGUUUUAUAAAAAUAAAACCAGAACAGUAAUUAAAUAAUUAAAUAUAUUAUUAAAUAUUUUAUUAUAAUCUGAAACGCAAUUAAGCAGACAGAUCACUCCACGAACUAAGAACGGCCAUGCACCACCUAUCAUAUAAUCAUGAAAGGACUAUCAUUUUUAUAUAUAAUAUAAUAAUAAAAUUAUAUUAUAUUAUCGCCUGUCAAUCCUCAAUAUGUCCGGACCUGGUAAGAUUUCCCGCGUUGGGUCAAAUUAAGCCACAUGCUCCACGCGUUCUUGUGGUGCCCUUCCGUCAAUUCCUUCAAGUUUCACACGUGCGU